AAGCCCAUACAAGCAAAAUAUCUUUAAAUAAUUAAUUGCAUAAAAUGUGAACGAGGGAAAGGUUCAUUUUCAACUCGCAUAUAAACAAGCAUUAAUGCAAAAACUCAUCAACUGCUUCACUAGUAAUAUCUUCAGAAUCUCUAGCUUCAAAUACUUUGUGCACCUGCGACACAUCUUGAAACCAGACUUUAGCAGAAGCAUAAAUCAUAGAUAAGUCAUUUGGGGUAGCACUUGGUCUCCAGUAUAUCAUAAACAAUGGAGUACUAAGUCGACCAUCUGUGGUUUUGGUAGGAUAGGAAACAAGGAUAAAUCUAGGAUUUGUUUCCGAGAGUUCAUCUGCGACCUCUUCAAUACUCUGUAAAUCCAUGAUUUCUCCAUCGGGAACAAUCUCCUUAGUAGCUUUAUCAACCUUGAGAAUGAAAGCAUACAUAACUGAUUUCUUCAACCGCAAACGAAAUCGAUCAAUUUCUUUCAUCGUGGUAUCCGAAAUGGUGAACAUACGAGCCUCUGAUGACAUCUUUCUUGUUAGUUUAUAAUAUUUAUGUAAAACCACAGCAAUAGCCAAUUAAGGAAAUUUAAUUUCGAGGGUGGUGCUUUUGUUGGGUUGAAUUAAUACCGUUCGUGCAGAAUCCUAAAAGAUAUUUAAAUUCAUGCUA